CCGACGUCACGAGACGGCGGCGAGUCUAUAAGAGCGAGGCUGGAGACACCGUGCGCCUCUUUCUCAGUUACCGGAGGUUGGUUUUACGUGAGGCACAGACGGUUAAACGGAGCCAUCAUGCCGGUGGCCCGGAGCUGGGUUUGUCGCAAAACCUAUGUGACCCCUCGGAGACCUUUCGAGAAGUCCCGCCUCGACCAAGAACUGAAACUGAUCGGCGAGUAUGGGCUCCGGAACAAACGUGAGGUCUGGAGGGUCAAAUUUACCCUGGCCAAAAUCCGCAAGGCUGCCCGGGAGUUGCUGACCCUGGAUGAGAAAGACCCGCGGCGUCUGUUUGAAGGUAACGCCCUGCUGCGGCGACUCGUCCGCAUCGGGGUGCUGGACGAAGGCAAGAUGAAGCUGGAUUACAUCUUGGGCCUGAAGAUUGAGGAUUUCUUGGAGAGACGCCUGCAGACCCAGGUCUUUAAGCUAGGCUUGGCCAAGUCCAUCCACCACGCCCGCGUGCUGAUCCGCCAGCGCCAUAUCAGCCCUCGGAGGUGAUGAAGGUGUGAGCUCACCUCAAGGGUACAGACUGACCCCUACAAACAGCUCAUGGGGGCACUGGGGGCAGCCUCAUCCCCCCAUAGCCCAGCGCAAGGGUCACUGCGGCUGGAGCCGUACACCUUGCGAAGGUUUCCGCCAGGCAUGCGAGUAGCUGGACAGGGUCCGCAAGCAGGUGGUGAACAUCCCAUCCUUCAUUGUCCGCCUGGACUCUCAGAAGCACAUCGACUUCUCCCUGCGUUCUCCGUAUGGGGGCGGCCGGCCAGGCCGCGUGAAGAGGAAGAAUGCCAAGAAGGGCCAGGGUGGGGCUGGAGCCGGCGACGACGAGGAGGAGGAUUGAGCCCACCCAUCCCCUGGCUAGGUUCCCAGUCAGAUAAUAAAAAGAGAUGAACACUUGAGAA